UACGGGGGGGGCAAGCGUUGUUCGGAAUUACUGGGCGUAAAGAGCUCGUAGGCGGUUCGGUAAGUCGGGUGUGAAAACUUUGGGCUCAACCCAAAGCCUGCACUCGAUACUGCUGUGACUUGAGUCCGGUAGGGGAGUGGGGAAUUCCUGGUGUAGCGGUGGAAUGCGCAGAUAUCAGGAGGAACACCGGUGGCGAAGGCGCCACUCUGGGCCGGUACUGACGCUGAGGAGCGAAAGCGUGGGGAGCAAACAGG
rnacentral:rRNA from 1 species